CCAAGCAGCCUCUUUCUCCAGGAGAACUGAUCCCUGUUGUCUAGACAACUGCUGCAAUUCUGGGAGAUCACCAGGCCCCACCUGGAGGAUGGCAACCUAUAGGAUAGGACUAAUUUCAUGGAUGGAUCUGCAGACAACACAUCCCUAGAACCAGAGACCAAGAAAACCAGGAAGAUACUAAACAAUACAUUGGAGAGACACCAAGAAACAGCACUCAAAUUAGGAUCUGCUCCAAAUUCUUCCCAUUUGUAGAAGAAAGACCGCCCCAUCCCCUAAGGGCUCUAUUUCUGUUGUUCCUGGAGAAUACUGUCACCCAGACCAAUCUGGCCACUGUGAUCCAUGCUACGAUCAUCUCCAGGCUAGAAAAUUGUAACUUGCUCUAUAUGGAGAUUGAAGAUCCAGUAUGCAGCAGCGCGGCUUCUCACAGGUAGCUCUAUACGGGACCAUAUCUUUCCUAUGCUGUGCUGGCUGCACUGGCUCCCAAUGGAGAUUCAGAUCACCUUCAGUGUAUUCAUGUUAACCUUCAAGUCAUUCUGUGGUCUGGGGCCCUCAUACCUUAGGGACCUUCUUUCCCCCUAUGUCCCUACCCAGCCUCUGCACUCUGCAGAGGCCAAUUUACUGGUGCUCCCUGGCCCCUCUAUGAUAAGGUUGGCCUCCACCUGGACCAGGGCCUUCAGUGCCCUGACCCUUGCCUGGUGGAAUUCAUUACCAUCCUUCAUUAGGGCCCUGAAGGACCUUGAGAAGUUCCACAGGGUCUGAAAAAUGACAUUGUUCCACCAGGCUUUUGGGGUGUGUGUGUGUGGGGGGGGAUAGCCAUUGAAAGGAUGCCACCCCUGUCUUUCAAUUAACAGUCUGGUAUGUCACCUGACCAGCCCUAAUGACGCAAAAAGCGAUAUCAUCGCCAUCAGAUUACUGUAUGUCAAUUUGGUAACUUGGAAUCUUGAUAUUAUG